CAGCAGCCACGGUAAUACGUAGGGUGCGAGCGUUAAUCGGAAUUACUGGGCGUAAAGCGUGCGCAGGCGGUGAUGUAAGACAGUUGUGAAAUCCCCGGGCUCAACCUGGGAACUGCAUCUGUGACUGCAUUGCUGGAGUGCGGCAGAGGGGGAUGGAAUUCCGCGUGUAGCAGUGAAAUGCGUAGAUAUGCGGAGGAACACCGAUGGCGAAGGCAAUCCCCUGGGCCUGCACUGACGCUCAUGCACGAAAGCGUGGGGAGCAAACAGGAUUAGAUACCCGCGUAGUCCCUGUCUCUUAUAC
rnacentral:rRNA from 1 species